ensembl:snRNA U6 U6 spliceosomal RNA
GGGCUCACUUUGGCAGCACAUAUACGAAAAUUGGAACAAUACAGAGAUUAGCAUGGCCCUGUGCAAGGAUGACACACAACUCCGUGAAGCAGUCCAUUAGAAA